UACGUAGGGGGCGAGCGUUGUCCGAAGUUACUGGGCGUAAAGCGCGCGUAGGCGGACUCUUAAGUGAGGGGUGAAAGGUUCAGGGCUCAACCCGAACACUGCCUUUCAUACUGGGGGUCUUGAGUGCGGGAGAGGCGAGUGGAAUGGUCGGUGUAGCGGUGAAAUGCGUAGAUAUCGAUCGGAACACCCAUGGCGAAGGCAGCUCGCUGGCCUGCAACUGACGCUGAGGUGCGAAAGCGUGGGGAGCAAAAAGG
rnacentral:rRNA from 1 species